rnacentral:rRNA from 1 species
ACGCUGGCGGCAGGCCUAACACAUGCAAGUCGAGCGGUAGAGAGAAGCUUGCUUCUCUUGAGAGCGGCGGACGGGUGAGUAAUGCCUAGGAAUCUGCCUGGUAGUGGGGGAUAACGUUCGGAAACGGACGCUAAUACCGCAUACGUCCUACGGGAGAAAGCAGGGGACCUUCGGGCCCUUGCGCUAUCAGAUGAGCCUAGGUCGGAUUAGCUAGUUGGUGAGGUAAUGGCUCACCAAGGCGACGAUCCGUAACUGGUCUGAGAGGAUGAUCAGUCACACUGGAACUGAGACACGGUCCAGACUCCUACGGGAGGCAGCAGUGGGGAAUAUUGGACAAUGGGCGAAAGCCUGAUCCAGCCAUGCCGCGUGUGUGAAGAAGGUCUUCGGAUUGUAAAGCACUUUAAGUUGGGAGGAAGGGCAGUUACCUAAUACGUGAUUGUUUUGACGUUACCGACAGAAUAAGCACCGGCUAACUCUGUGCCAGCAGCCGCGGUAAUACAGAGGGUGCAAGCGUUAAUCGGAAUUACUGGGCGUAAAGCGCGCGUAGGUGGUUUGUUAAGUUGGAUGUGAAAUCCCCGGGCUCAACCUGGGAACUGCAUUCAAAACUGACUGACUAGAGUAUGGUAGAGGGUGGUGGAAUUUCCUGUGUAGCGGUGAAAUGCGUAGAUAUAGGAAGGAACACCAGUGGCGAAGGCGACCACCUGGACUGAUACUGACACUGAGGUGCGAAAGCGUGGGGAGCAAAC